UACGUAGGGUGCGAGCGUUGCUCGGAAUCACUGGGCGUAAAGCGCACGUAGGCGGAUUGUUAAGUCAGGGGUGAAAUCCUGGAGCUCAACUCCAGAACUGCCUUUGAUACUGGGAAGCUCGAGUCCGGGAGAGGUGAGUGGAACUCCGAGUGUAGAGGUGAAAUUCGUAGAUAUUCGGAAGAACACCAGUGGCGAAGGCGGCUCACUGGCCCGGUACUGACGCUGAGGUGCGAAAGCGUGGGGAGCAAACAGG
rnacentral:rRNA from 1 species